rnacentral:rRNA from 2 species
UUAGGUUAAGUUAGAAAGGGCGCACGGUGAAUGCCUUGGCACUAGGAGCCGAUGAAGGACGGGACUAACACCGAUAUGCUUCGGGGAGCUGUAAGUAAGCUUUGAUCCGGAGAUUUCCGAAUGGGGAAACCCACUGCUCGUAAUGGAGCAGUAUCAUUACCUGAAUCCAUAGGGUAAUGAGGGCACACCCGGGGAACUGAAACAUCUAAGUACCCGGAGGAAGAGAAAGCAAAUGCGAUUCCCUGAGUAGCGGCGAGCGAAACGGGAACAGCCCAAACCGAAAGGCUUGCCUUUCGGGGUUGUAGGACACUCAAUAUGGAGUUACAAAGGAACGGGGUAGAUGAAGCGGUCUGGAAAGGCCUGCCGUAGAAGGUAAAAGCCCUGUAGUCGAAACUUCGUUCCCUCCUGAGUGGAUCCUGAGUACGGCCGGACACGUGAAAUCUGGUCGGAAGCAGGGAGGACCAUCUCCCAAGGCUAAAUACUCCCUAGUGACCGAUAGUGAACCAGUACCGUGAGGGAAAGGUGAAAAGCACCCCGGGAGGGGAGUGAAAGAGAACCUGAAACCGUGUGCCUACAAGUAGUCAGAGCCCGUUUAUGGGUGAUGGCGUGCCUUUUGUAGAAUGAACCGGCGAGUUACGAUUACAUGCGAGGUUAAGUUGAAGAGACGGAGCCGUAGCGAAAGCGAGUCUGAAUAGGGCGAAUGAGUAUGUAGUCGUAGACCCGAAACCAGGUGAUCUACCCAUGUCCAGGGUGAAGUCCAGGUAACACUGGAUGGAGGCCCGAACCCACGCACGUUGAAAAGUGCGGGGAUGAGGUGUGGGUAGCGGAGAAAUUCCAAUCGAACUUGGAGAUAGCUGGUUCUCUCCGAAAUAGCUUUAGGGCUAGCCUCACGUAGUGAGAGUCUUGGAGGUAGAGCACUGUUUGGACUAGGGGCCCUCAUCGGGUUACCGAAUUCAGAUAAACUCCGAAUGCCAAUGACUUAUCCGUGGGAGUCAGACUAUGAGUGAUAAGAUCCAUGGUCAAAAGGGAAACAGCCCAGACCACCAGCUAAGGUCCCAAAGUAUACGUUAAGUGGAAAAGGAUGUGGAGUUGCUUAGACAACCAGGAUGUUGGCUUAGAAGCAGCCACCAUUUAAAGAGUGCGUAAUAGCUCACUGGUCGAGUGACUCUGCGCCGAAAAUGUACCGGGGCUAAACGUAUCACCGAAGCUGUGGGUGGACACCUUUUGGUGUCCGCGGUAGGAGAGCGUUCUAAGGGCGUUGAAGCUAGACCGUAAGGACUGGUGGAGCGCUUAGAAGUGAGAAUGCCGGUAUGAGUAGCGAAAGAUGAGUGAGAAUCUCAUCCACCGUAUGCCUAAGGUUUCCUGAGGAAGGCUCGUCCGCUCAGGGUUAGUCGGGACCUAAGCCGAGGCCGAAAGGCGUAGGCGAUGGACAACAGGUUGAUAUUCCUGUACCACCUCUUUAUCGUUUGAGUGAUGGGGGGACGCAGGAGGAUAGGGUAAGCGCGCUGCUGGUUAUGCGCGUGUAAGCAGUUAGGCUGGCAAAUAGGAAAAUCCGUUUGCCGUUAAGGCUGAGCUGUGAUGCCGAGGGAAUUUGAGUACCGAAGUUCCUGAUUCCACACUGCCAAGAAAAGCCUCUAGCGAGAUAAAAGGUGCCCGUACCGCAAACCGACACAGGUAGGCGAGGAGAGAAUCCUAAGGUGAGCGAGAGAACUCUCGUUAAGGAACUCGGCAAAAUGACCCCGUAACUUCGGGAGAAGGGGUGCUCAUUAGGGUGCAUAGCCUUGAUGAGCCGCAGUGAAUAGGCCCAGGCGACUGUUUAGCAAAAACACAGGUCUCUGCGAAGCCGCAAGGCGAAGUAUAGGGGCUGACGCCUGCCCGGUGCUGGAAGGUUAAGAGGAAGGGUUAGCUCACGCGAAGCUCUGAAUCGAAGCCCCAGUAAACGGCGGCCGUAACUAUAACGGUCCUAAGGUAGCGAAAUUCCUUGUCGGGUAAGUUCCGACCCGCACGAAAGGCGUAACGAUCUGGGCACUGUCUCAACGAGAGACUCGGUGAAAUUAUAGUACCUGUGAAGAUGCAGGUUACCCGCGACAGGACGGAAAGACCCCGUGGAGCUUUACUGCAGCCUGAUAUUGAAUUUUGGUACAGCUUGUACAGGAUAGGUAGGAGCCGUGGAAGCCGGAGCGCCAGCUUCGGUGGAGGCGUCGGUGGGAUACUACCCUGGCUGUAUUGAAAUUCUAACCCGCACCCCUUAUCGGGGUGGGAGACAGUGUCAGGUGGGCAGUUUGACUGGGGCGGUCGCCUCCUAAAGAGUAACGGAGGCGCCCAAAGGUUCCCUCAGAAUGGUUGGAAAUCAUUCGCAGAGUGUAAAGGCACAAGGGAGCUUGACUGCGAGACCUACAAGUCGAGCAGGGACGAAAGUCGGGCUUAGUGAUCCGGUGGUUCCGCAUGGAAGGGCCAUCGCUCAACGGAUAAAAGCUACCCCGGGGAUAACAGGCUUAUCUCCCCCAAGAGUCCACAUCGACGGGGAGGUUUGGCACCUCGAUGUCGGCUCAUCGCAUCCUGGGGCUGUAGUCGGUCCCAAGGGUUGGGCUGUUCGCCCAUUAAAGCGGUACGCGAGCUGGGUUCAGAACGUCGUGAGACAGUUCGGUCCCUAUCCGUCGUGGGCGUAGGAAAUUUGAGAGGAGCUGUCCUUAGUACGAGAGGACCGGGAUGGACGCACCGCUGGUGUACCAGUUGUCUUGCCAAAGGCACCGCUGGGUAGCUAUGUGCGGAAGGGAUAAGUGCUGAAAGCAUCUAAGCAUGAAGCCCCCCUCAAGAUGAGAUUUCCCAUAGCGUUAAGCUAGUAAGAUCCCUGAAAGAUGAUCAGGUUGAUAGGUCAGAGGUGGAAGCACGGUGACGUGUGGAGCUGACUGAUACUAAUCGAUCGAGGACUUAACCAAAUAA